rnacentral:rRNA from 1 species
GACGAACGCUGGCGGCGUGCUUAACACAUGCAAGUCGAACGGAAAGGCCCUGCUUUUGUGGGGUGCUCGAGUGGCGAACGGGUGAGUAACACGUGAGUAACCUGCCCUUGACUUUGGGAUAACUUCAGGAAACUGGGGCUAAUACCGGAUAGGGGCUCCUGCUGCAUGGUGGGGGUUGGAACGUUUCGGCGGUUGGGGAUGGACUCGCGGCUUAUCAGCUUGUUGGUGGGGUAGUGGCUUACCAAGGCUUUGACGGGUAGCCGGCCUGAGAGGGUGACCGGCCACAUUGGGACUGAGAUACGGCCCAGACUCCUACGGGAGGCAGCAGUGGGGAAUAUUGCACAAUGGGCGGAAGCCUGAUGCAGAAACGCCGCGUGCGGGAUGACGGCCUUCGGGUUGUAAACCGCUUUCGCCUGUGACGAAGCGUGAGUGACGGUAAUGGGUAAAGAAGCACCGGCUAACUACGUG